rnacentral:rRNA from 1 species
AGCGAACGCUGGCGGCGUGCCUAAUACAUGCAAGUCGAGCGAAUGGAUUAAGAGCUUGCUCUUAUGAAGUUAGCGGCGGACGGGUGAGUAACACGUGGGUAACCUGCCCAUAAGACUGGGAUAACUCCGGGAAACCGGGGCUAAUACCGGAUAACAUUUUGAACCGCAUGGUUCGAAAUUGAAAGGCGGCUUCGGCUGUCACUUAUGGAUGGACCCGCGUCGCAUUAGCUAGUUGGUGAGGUAACGGCUCACCAAGGCAACGAUGCGUAGCCGACCUGAGAGGGUGAUCGGCCACACUGGGACUGAGACACGGCCCAGACUCCUACGGGAGGCAGCAGUAGGGAAUCUUCCGCAAUGGACGAAAGUCAGACGGAGCAACGCCGCGUGAGUGAUGAAGGCUUUCGGGUCGUAAAACUCUGUUGUUAAGGAAGAACAAGUGCUAGUUGAAUAAGCUGGCACCUUGACGGUACCUAACCAGAAAGCCACGGCUAACUACGUGCCAGCAGCCGCAGUAAAAC